GAUCAUGGCUCAGGAUGAACGCUAGCUACAGGCUUAACACAUGCAAGUCGAGGGGCAGCAUGAACAAAGCUUGCUUUGUUUGAUGGCGACCGGCGCACGGGUGCGUAACACGUAUCCAAUCUGCCCGCGGCUCGGGGAUAGCCCAUCGAAAGAUGGAUUAAUACCCGAUGGUGUGGUUUCUCCGCAUGGGGUUUCCACUAAAGGUUUUCCGGCCGCGGAUGAGGAUGCGUAUGAUUAGGUAGUAGGCGGGGUAACGGCCCACCUAGCCUUCGAUCAUUAGGGGUUCUGAGAGGAAGGUCCCCCACACUGGAACUGAGACACGGUCCAGACUCCUACGGGAGGCAGCAGUGAGGAAUAUUGGUCAAUGGGCGAGAGCCUGAACCAGCCAAGUCGCGUGAGGGACGACGGUACUAAGUAUUGUAAACCUCUUUUGUCAGGGAACAAAGAGACCACGUGUGGUAAGAUGAGUGUACCUGAAGAAAAAGCAUCGGCUAACUCCGUG
rnacentral:rRNA from 1 species